CAAUAGCGUAUAUUAAAGUUGUUGCAGUUAAAAAGCUCGUAGUUGGAUUUGUGGCUGUCACGGGCGGCCUAUCACUUAGUGUUAGUGCUUGCCUGUGUCGCCAUCCUUGGGUGGAGCCCGUGUGGCAUUAGGUUGUCGUGCGGGGGAUGCCCAUCGUUUACUGUGAGAAAAUUAGAGUGUUCAAAGCAGGCUUAUGCCAUUGAAUAUGUUAGCAUGGAAUAAUAAGAUAGGACCUCGGUACUAUUUUGUUGGUUUGCGCACCGAGGUAAUGAUUAAUAGGGACAGUUGGGGGUAUUCGUAUUUCAUUGCCAGAGGUGAAAUUCUUGGAUUUCUGAAAGACGAACUACUGCGAAAGCAUUUACCAAGGAUGUUUUCAUUAA
rnacentral:rRNA from 1 species